rnacentral:rRNA from 1 species
UACGGAGGUGGCAAGCGUUGUUCGGAAUUACUGGGCGUAAAGGGCGCGUAGGCGGCCCUCUAAGUCAGACGUGAAAUCCCCCGGCUUAACCUGGGAACUGCGUCUGAUACUGGGAGGCUUGAGUAUGGGAGAGGGAUGUAGAAUUCCAGGUGUAGCGGUGAAAUGCGUAGAUAUCUGGAGGAACACCGGUGGCGAAGGCGGCAUCCUGGACCAUUACUGACGCUGAGGCGCGAAAGCUAGGGGAGCAAACGGG